AGGUGACUAUAGCAUCAGGGUUCCACCUCUUCCCAUUCCGAACAGAGAAGUUAAGCCUGAUCACGCCGAUGGUACUGCGUAACAGUGGGAGAGUAGGUAGUCGCCA
rnacentral:rRNA from 1 species